CCUGCUAUGCAAUCCCUUGGAUACAUCUUAUCGAGGGAGUAGAUAAAUCGCUCAUUACGGAGGCCUAUCUUUGGGGCCGAUAUAGCGACAGCUUCAUCCAAGUUGUGCACCUCUAAUGUGGCUGCAUUGAAGUGCACAGCAUGUUAGAAUACAGAUAGAGUAGCAUGCAUAGAUUUCAAAAUAAUUUUGAAAUAGCAACAGAAAUGGAUCUAAGUUAAAUCCUUUAACCUCACAUGCAAUAG
rnacentral:lncRNA from 1 species